CAACCCUGACUGUGCUGCAUCUUGUCUGAUCUUGGAAGCUAAGCAGGGUCGGGCCUGGUUAGUACUUGGAUGGGAGACCAUCUAGGAAUACCAGGU
rnacentral:rRNA from 1 species